rnacentral:rRNA from 1 species
UACGUAGGGGGCUAGCGUUGUCCGGAAUCAUUGGGCGUAAAGAGCGUGUAGGCGGCCCGGUAAGUCCGCUGUAAAAGUCAAAGGCUCAACCUUUGAAUGUCAGUGGAUACUGCCGGGCUAGAGUCCGGAAGAGGCGAGUGGAACUCCUGGUGUAGCGGUGGAAUGCGCAGAUAUCAGGAAGAACACCAACGGCGAAGGCAGCUCGCUGGGACGGUACUGACGCUGAGACGCUAAAGCGUGGGGAGCGAACAGG